GCACUGUUUAGGAGUCCCAUAAUAGGACGAAACGGCCGUCCAGUGU
rnacentral:hammerhead_ribozyme from 1 species